rnacentral:tRNA from 1 species
GCGACGCGGGGAUCGCGGGAGUUGCGCACCUUCUCGGGGUGCGGCGCGGCGGAGGCGUUCAGCAGGAAGCGGCGUACCGCGACGGCGACGUCGCGCC